rnacentral:rRNA from 1 species
GUUCGGAUUCAUUGGGCGUAAAGGGUGCGUAGGCGGCGCGGUAAGUCGGGGGGGAAAUCUCGGAGCUUAACUCCGAAACUGCAUUCGAUACUGCCGUGCUUGAGGACUGGAGAGGAGACUGGAAUUUACGGUGUAGCGGUGAAAUGCGUAGAUAUCGUAAGGAAGACCAGUGGCGAAGGCGGGUCUCUGGACAGUUCCUGACGCUGAGGCACGAAGGUCAGGGGAGCAAACGGG